CGCGCGGGGCUCCGACGGGGGCGGCGGCCGCGCGGCCGGUAUAUGCUCCGAGGGUGGCUAGCUGCCCCGUGGAAGAAGCUACAAGAUAUCAACGAGCCGCUGUAAUAAAGCAGAAGUAUUUGACACUGAGAGUGUAGAGCUAUAUAGUUUCUUUUUUAUUAUGAAUGGGGUGGUGGGUAUGGGGCAGGACAGGAGGGACACACUGAAGUUCAAAAGCGAGAUGUACUAACGUACUGCUUUGGAGUUUAAGAAGCUGAAGGCAAUGAUGAAGCUCAAGAGGAGGAGAAGCUAGUGUGAUCAGUCUGCCUGCCUCUGUGAUCCCCCGCAGCACUGGCUGGAAGUCCGCCGCGUGUCAGUGAGGAGCUGCUGCAGAAGGAAGAAGAAGCGGCGUGGGGACCUGGGAGGCAGGAGCAAGCAAGAAGAGGAAGCGGAAGCGUGCAGAUGCGGGGGGGAAGGAGAGAGGCUCCCUGGGCAAAGCACCUGUCCCGUUAGCAGGGGCACAGUCACGUUUGAGUUGAGAGCUGCCGGCGCCUUUGGUGACCAGGCUGGCGUUGUGCUGGGCGACCUCCCCGUAAGCGGGGCUCGGGUCUUUGCUGUAGUUGGCCUUUUGCCUUGCUGCUCCUUUGGCUGCCUGGGGAGCGUGGCCCCCUGUAACGGAGGGCGAGAGCCACCUCUCCGCACCUGAGUGGGAAAUGGAGCUCGCCGGACCCCAAGGCCACCCUGUAAGCAGGGUAGUGCCGUUCCCUGCCCCUCUUCCUCCCCCGGCCCCUCGCAUCGUUGCCUGAUGGUGGCUUGUCAACGCGACGGCCCCGUACUCGG
rnacentral:lncRNA from 1 species